rnacentral:sRNA from 1 species
GCCUGAUAUACCAGCCCAAAGCUUCAGGAGAUAGUACCCACCUCCCCCACAUCAGCAGGAGAUGACUGCUCCAAUCAGCAAGUCACUUAUUUAGCUGUCAUUAAAAUAAGAAUUUCAAAGUCUGUGGUAGGUUACAGAAGGAGACCAGAAGAGGCAAAGAUUCGAUCUCAGCAUUAAAUUGUGAUGUCAAAGGAAGAUGUCUGAUACCCAGCCUUCUUAGCCCAUAGAUUCGUGCAGAUCACAGGAAAUCUGGCUUAAGUAUUUUUACAGCCAGUUAGGUAUAGUGGCCCACUCAGCAGGCUGAAGCUAGAAGGUUGUGACUUGAAACCAGCCAGAACCACACAGCUGUCUCUCAAAAAGAAAAGAGAAAAAUGGUGAAUAAAAGAAAAGACAAAAGAAGAACUUGGGCAGUAGAAUAUUAGCUGGGAGGGUAUAUUUAAGUUCAGUUUCAGUUCCUGAAUUAGAAAUAUAGCAACUGC